rnacentral:rRNA from 1 species
AGCUCUGUAAGCGUAUACCAAAGUUGUUGCAGUUAAAACACUCGUAGUCGGAACUUGGCCGUUCCGGAUGUGUGCACGUCGUGUGCGCACUUUGCGGGGACGGCUUUUGUGGUCUUGCGUAGGAUGAGGCACUUUUAUUAGUGAACGUCCUCACGCAACCACUCUUUACUGUGAGAAAAUCAGAGUGCUCAAAGCAGGCAUUUGCCGUGAAUGUAUUAGCAUGGAAUAAUAGAAUAGGACUCGGUUCUAUUUUGUUGGUUUGUUGGGACUGAGUAAUGAUUAAGAGGGACAGUUGGGGGUCCUUGUAUUUCGGCGCUAGAGGUGAAAUUCUUAGAUUGCCGAAAGACAAACUGCUGCGAAAGCGUCGACCAAGGAUGUUUUCAUUGAUCAAGAACGAAAG